GGAUUAGGUGCCUUUAAGUCAACGGUGGCAGCGCUGCCUGGAAGACGACGUUGGAGGCUUAAAACACCAUCGAGCAGAAGAUAUCCUCUGCAACAGUCCAAUCCUGGGCAUCCGUGGCCUACUGGUUAGGGAGUCGGACAUGUGACCAAAUGUGGAUGCUCUCUCUGUAGACCACAAAACACCAAUCAACGGCAAAACCUCAGAUCUACAGUAUAGAUCAGCAAUACAUUUCUACAGCACUGUUGCCAUAGCAGCCACAAGAUAAUAGCAGAGUGAAGUGUGAGUGAGUAUGGUCUUUUAUCACAUGAACGCACACAAACAAGGGAUCACCCAAUGAGGGUCACAUGAGGAGGAUGCGCCGUGUCUGAGCCACUCUCUGCCCAUGUUGCCUGGGGAACGCCACCGUGAAGAGGGACCUAUGGAUAAAGAAGGGUGAGGACAGUGCUCACCCUUGGGGGGAGGGAAGACAAUCUGCCCAUCUUAUCUAUUCCCUUGUUUGCACUGUAUUCCCCAACAGUGUUGUAAACUCAAUAAAAUUGCAGAGCUGUA